rnacentral:lncRNA from 1 species
UCAUGAGGCUACACAAGCAAGGCCAAACCUAGGGAUCCCAAAUACACCCAACGUAAGUUUUGUCCUCCCGGUUUAACUAAGACCAUGAAAAAGAGAUUACAACGUAUGAGGAACCAUGAGAAGGUAGAGCGCGAAGAAGAGAAGCAAAUGGAUGAAUUGUUCCAUGAAAUUCGUCCCACGGUACUCACAAAGCAAGUAUGGAGGCCUAAACAAAAAUAAAACAC